CUGUGCUAGAUGGGGAGGUAGCGGUGCCCUGUAACCCGCAAUCCGCUAUAGCGGGGUUGAAUUCCUGCCCGAGGUUUGAUGCUUGCAGGGUCUGGCCUGAGUAAGUGGUGUUGAGUACCGGGUCCUGCGCAACGGAGACCCAUGAACCCUGUCAGGUCCGGAAGGAAGCAGCAGUAAGUGGUGCCCUUCGUGUGCCGCAGGGGUGCCUGGUAGGAGCUAACUGCUCGGUUACCGCCUGUGAGGUCAGAUCGGAGGCAGGUGCACAG
rnacentral:SRP_RNA from 1 species